rnacentral:rRNA from 1 species
CCAGACUCCUACGGGAGGCAGCAGUGAGGAAUAUUGGUCAAUGGCCGAGAGGCUGAACCAGCCAAGUCGCGUGAGGGAUGACGGCCCUACGGGUUGUAAACCUCUUUUGUCGGGGAGCAAAAGCCGGACGUGUCCGGCUGUGAGAGUACCCGAAGAAAAAGCAUCGGCUAACCCCGUGCCAGCAGCCGCGGUAAUACGGAGGAUGCGAGCGUUAUCCGGAUUUAUUGGGUUUAAAGGGUGCGCAGGCGGCACGGCAAGCCGGCGGUCAAAUCGCGGGGCUCAACCCCGCCCAGCCGUCGGAACUGCCGGGCUAGAGUGGGCGAGAAGUGCGCGGAAUGCGUGGUGUAGCGGUGAAAUGCAUAGAUAUCACGCAGAACUCCGAUUGCGAAGGCAGCAUACCGGCGCCCAACUGACGCUGAAGCACGAAAGCGUGGGUAUCGAACAGGAUUAGAUACCCCAGUAU